rnacentral:tRNA from 1 species
AUGGGUACCAAAUAAUAUGUACUAAGUAUUUUUUAAAAGUAAAUAAGCUGCAAAUAAAUAAUAAUAAAAAGUUUAUAUAUAUAA